CUGCCACUCCUUUCAGUCCCUUCUCUGCUCUAAAAUGAUUUUGUCUUACGUGACAUGCUUUAACUCCAGAGAAAGUUAGUAAUUUUCAUUUCUCUUAUGUCUCUGCCUUUCUUGCAGGCCCCCUUUAGGUACUGGAAGGCUGCCUUGAAGCCUUUUCUUCUCCAGACCCAACCACCCCAACUGUCUCGGCCUGGAGAGAGAUAUAAUAGGAGAGAUAUUCCACCUCUCUAAUAAUUUCAAGAUAGAAUUAGACCAUGUUUAGUCUUUAAUACAGAUAAUUAAGGGUCCUGGAGAACAGUUAAUUUGGGGAAAUUGUUGUGAAUAAAGGAGCACCAGAAUUUGGCAAAGCAGCUAGUAGUAAUUCUGGUGAACCUUAGGUGGGAAUUGCAGAUGCUCUUUAUAGCAGCAUGUAACUGCAGGAAAAGAUCCUGGCCUUCCUGUCCCAGUCUUCGCUGGUUACAGUGGUGCUGUGUCCUGAUCAUGUGCAAUUAUCACGUGCCCCAAAGGAUUUUGGAGGAAAACAAAUCAUGCCAUAUUCAACAACUUGAAGAGAAGCAAGGCUGCUGCUGAUCCCUGUCCCUGAGUUCCACCAGGAGCAAGGCUGAGGAUUCAUUUACAGCAAGCACACAAAGCACGUGUGUGCACUACAUGUGCCUGGACAUAAAUAUAUAGCUGCUCACACAGAUUCUAGAGGGACACUCAGAGAACUCAUGUGAACACAAACAUCAUGCACACAACCACACACCCAUCCAGACAGAAGGAGCAAGCCACAUCUUUUAUAUCAUUCUAAGUGCAACUAUGACUUUUGGAAAAAAAUACUAUAACGUCUUAAUUUUUAUGGAUGUAACAUGUAACCCCAAUUUCAAGAAUUUCUGGAAUAAAUUCAGUGAAUUUGGUGCAAAUUUUGUUCAGAAUCACCAACAAUACAGAAAAUAAUCUUCAAG